AAAAUACUUUAGAAAUGUCAUUUUAAUAACAAAAUAACAUCAUUCAAUCAACGUGAGCCUGGGUUUUCUUUUCUAUUGACGGAUCUCUCGUGAUCGAACAAAACCUAUACACUGGUUAUUUCGAUUUCUUGCGUUUUCUACCAUGGCACGAGAGCAACACUCAUUGGCGCCACCGUGGGCACUCGACGCAGGACCGUUAUUUCUCGUUCUUCUAAUAGCAGCUCAUGUUCUCGGACUGGUAUAUUGGAUUUAUAGAUUAGCGACUCAGAAACAACAGCAACAGAGGCGGAAGGCUCACUGAAGGAGAAGUAACAAGUUUGCAACCUUGGAGAAAGAAAUUUUGCAGCUGACUGCUUUGGGGAAAUUGGCAAUGCUCGGAAUCGGCAAACUAUAAAUUUGAUGAUUUUUCUUUAGGUCUUCUAUAUGAUUGUUGAAGUAGAGAAUCUAUACUAAGAGAUUUAUAUUUGGUCCUUAUGCUAGCUAGCAUCCUUUUGGCUUUUGGUAACUGAAACUCAAAUUUACUAAUGUUGUAUUUUCUCCUACUUUUGUAUAAGCAAAUUUUGAAUUUUAGAUUUGUUCAAUAAAUGAUAAAUUUAGAUUUUAUAAA